rnacentral:rRNA from 1 species
GGCGGACGGGUGAGUAACGCGUGAGUAACCUGCCUUACACAAGGGGAUAGCCGUUGGAAACGACGAAUAAUACCCUAUGACAUAAACUCUUCGCAUGAGGAGCUUAUCAAAGAUUUAUCGGUGUAAGAUGGACUCGCGUCUGAUUAGCUAGUUGGUGAGGUAACGGCCCACCAAGGCGACGAUCAGUAGCCGGCUUGAGAGAGUGUACGGCCACAUUGGGACUGAGACACGGCCCAGACUCCUACGGGAGGCAGCAGGG